UUUAAGACGAGAGUUUGAUCCUGGCUCAGGAUGAACGCUGGCGGCGUGCUUAACACAUGCAAGUCGAACGAAGCACUUU
rnacentral:rRNA from 1 species